CUAUAUCUUACAACGUUGAUACUCAAAUGUGAAGAGAAUUUGGAAACAAUAUGGGCUUAUUUUUACACUUUAAUUUUAAAUAUGGGCUUAUAAUUGUAACAACCCGUCUGGUGGGACCCAUGGCAUAAGCGCUGCAGCGCAUCGACCAUAACCUCUCUCAUGUGGGUUCAAUAUGGCCAACCAGCCAUCUGGUCCACCAGGUAGAUUAUUGGUGCGAUUGGCGUUCUUCGAACCCAAGACUUCACUCUUUAACAACCUUCCCACCAGAUAAUAUGUUACCAAUUGAC
rnacentral:lncRNA from 1 species